rnacentral:rRNA from 1 species
AACUUAAGCAUAUCAAUAAGCGGAGGAAAAGAAACCAACAGGGAUUGCCUCAGUAACGGCGAGUGAAGCGGCAAUAGCUCAAAUUUGAAAUCUGGCUUCGGCCCGAGUUGUAAUUUGUAGAGGAUGCUUCGGCUUACGCACCGGUCUAAGUUCCUUGGAACAGGACGUCACAGAGGGUGAGAAUCCCGUUUGUGGCCGGUGCUUCCGCCAUGUGAAGCUCCUUCGACGAGUCGAGUUGUUUGGGAAUGCAGCUCUAAAUGGGAGGUAAAUUUCUUCUAAAGCUAAAUACCGGCCAGAGACCGAUAGCGCACAAGUAGAGUGAUCGAAAGAUGAAAAGCACUUUGGAAAGAGAGUUAAAAAGUACGUGAAAUUGUUGAAAGGGAAGCGCUUGCGACCAGACUUGCCCGCGGAUGCUCAACCGGUCCUUCGGCCGGUGCACUCUUCCGCGGUCAGGCCAGCAUCAGUUCGGGCGGUCGGAUAAAGGCCUUGGGAAUGUGGCUCUCUUCGGGGAGUGUUAUAGCCCUUGGUGUAAUACGGCCUGCCUGGACUGAGGCCCGCGCUUCUGCUAGGAUGCUGGCGUAAUGGUCGUAAGCGGCCCGUCUUG